CCUACGGGCGGCAGCAGUAGGGAAUUUUCGUCAAUGGGCGCAAGCCUGAACGAGCAAUGCCGCGUGAACGAGGAAGGUCUUCGGAUCGUAAAGUUCUGUUGAAGGGGAAAAAGAGCGGAGAGAGGAAAUGAACUCCGAUUGAUAUUACCCUUCGAGGAAGUCACGGCUAACUACGUGCCAGCAGCCGCGUUAAUACGUAGGUGGUGAGCGUUAUCCGGAUUGAUUGGGCGUAAGGGGUGCGUAGGCGGCAUGCUAAGUCUGGAGUGAAAGGUACCGGCUCAACUGGUAUAGGCUCUGGAAACUGGAGGGCUAGAGAGCAGGAGAGGGAGGCGGAACUCCAUGUGUAGCGGUAAAAUGCGUAGAUAUAAGGAAGAACACCAGUGGCGAAGGCGGCCGACUGGCCUGUUACUGACGCUGAGGCACGAAAGCGUGGGGAGCAAAUAGGAUUAGAUACCCGUGUAGUC
rnacentral:rRNA from 1 species